ACACAUGCAGUCGAACGNGNGNNAGCCCAGGCUUGCUUGGUGGAUCAGUGGCGAACGGGUGGAGUAACACGUGAGCAACCUGCCCUGAACUCUGGGAUAAGCGCUGGAAACGGCGUCUAAUACUGGAUAUGAGCUGCGGAGGCAUCUUCGUGGUUGGAAAGAUUUUUCGGUUUGGGAUGGGCUCGCGGCCUAUCAGCUUGUUGGUGAGGUAAUGGCUCACCAAGGCGUCGACGGGUAGCCGGCCUGAGAGGGUGACCGGCCACACUGGGACUGAGACACGGCCCAGACUCCUACGGGAGGCAGCAGUGGGGAAUAUUGCACAAUGGGCGGAAGCCUGAUGCAGCAACGCCGCGUGAGGGAUGACGGCCUUCGGGUUGUAAACCUCUUUUAGCAGGGAAGAAGCGAAAGUGACGGUACCUGCAGAAAAAGCGCCGGCUAACUACGUGCCAGCAGCCGCGGUAAUACGUAGGGCGCAAGCGUUAUCCGGAAUUAUUGGGCGUAAAGAGCUCGUAGGCGGUUUGUCGCGUCUGCUGUGAAAACCCGAGGCUCAACCUCGGGCCUGCAGUGGGUACGGGCAGACUAGAGUGCGGUAGGGGAGAUUGGAAUUCCUGGUGUAGCGGUGGAAUGCGCAGAUAUCAGGAGGAACACCGAUGGCGAAGGCAGAUCUCUGGGCCGUAACUGACGCUGAGGAGCGAAAGGGUG
rnacentral:rRNA from 1 species